GAGUGAAAUAGAACCUGAAACCGUGUGCUUACAAGUAGUCAGAGCCCGUUAAUGGGUGAUGGCGUGCCUUUUGUAGAAUGAACCGGCGAGUUACGAUUUGAUGCAAGGUUAAGCAGUAAAUGUGGAGCCGUAGCGAAAGCGAGUCUGAAUAGGGCGUUUAGUAUUUGGUCGUAGACCCGAAACCAGGUGAUCUACCCUUGGUCAGGUUGAAGUUCAGGUAACACUGAAUGGAGGACCGAACCGACUUACGUUGAAAAGUGAGCGGAUGAACUGAGGGUAGCGGAGAAAUUCCAAUCGAACCUGGAGAUAGCUGGUUCUCUCCGAAAUAGCUUUAGGGCUAGCCUCAAGUGAUGAUUAUUGGAGGUAGAGCACUGUUUGGACGAGGGGCCCCUCUCGGGUUACCGAAUUCAGACAAACUCCGAAUGCCAAUUAAUUUAACUUGGGAGUCAGAACAUGGGUGAUAAGGUCCGUGUUCGAAAGGGAAACAGCCCAGACCACCAGCUAAGGUCCCAAAAUAUAUGUUAAGUGGAAAAGGAUGUGGCGUUGCCCAGACAACUAGGAUGUUGGCUUAGAAGCAGCCAUCAUUUAAAGAGUGCGUAAUAGCUCACUAGUCGAGUGACACUGCGCCGAAAAUGUACCGGGGCUAAACAUAUUACCGAAGCUGUGGAUUGUCCUUUGGACAAUGGUAGGAGAGCGUUCUAAGGGCGUUGAAGCAUGAUCGUAAGGACAUGUGGAGCGCUUAGAAGUGAGAAUGCCGGUGUGAGUAGCGAAAGACGGGUGAGAAUCCCGUCCACCGAUUGACUAAGGUUUCCAGAGGAAGGCUCGUCCGCUCUGGGUUAGUCGGGUCCUAAGCUGAGGCCGACAGGCGUAGGCGAUGGAUAACAGGUUGAUAUUCCUGUACCACCUAUAAUCGUUUUAAUCGAUGGGGGGACGCAGUAGGAUAGGCGAAGCGUGCGAUUGGAUUGCACGUCUAAGCAGUAAGGCUGAGUAUUAGGCAAAUCCGGUACUCGUUAAGGCUGAGCUGUGAUGGGGAGAAGACAUUGAGUCUUCGAGUCGUUGAUUUCACACUGCCGAGAAAAGCCUCUAGAUAGAAAAUAGGUGCCCGUACCGCAAACCGACACAGGUAGUCAAGAUGAGAAUUCUAAGGUGAGCGAGCGAACUCUCGUUAAGGAACUCGGCAAAAUGACCCCGUAACUUCGGGAGAAGGGGUGCUCUUUAGGGUUAACGCCCAGAAGAGCCGCAGUGAAUAGGCCCAAGCGACUGUUUAUCAAAAACACAGGUCUCUGCUAAACCGUAAGGUGAUGUAUAGGGGCUGACGCCUGCCCGGUGCUGGAAGGUUAAGAGGAGUGGUUAGCUUCUGCGAAGCUACGAAUCGAAGCCCCAGUAAACGGCGGCCGUAACUAUAACGGUCCUAAGGUAGCGAAAUUCCUUGUCGGGUAAGUUCCGACCCGCACGAAAGGCGUAACGAUUUGGGCACUGUCUCAACGAGAGACUCGGUGAAAUCAUAGUA
rnacentral:rRNA from 1 species